UAAACACUGGACUUCCGGCCUGCGACUAGCUGUGUCUGACCAGCUUAAUGCACCUGUAGGGGGACCUGGACCCACCUUCCUAUUGGUCAAACAGGGACUGUGGUCGGCCCCUGAUCGUGUGUGUGUGUGUGUGUGUGUGUGUGUGUGUGUGUGUGUGUGUGUGUGUGAGGCCUUCAUGUGCUGGAAGCUGAAAUUCGCUGCCUUAAAACACCGCUGUGAACGGCCUUACUACAAUGGACAAGGCGGUAAAUGCGACCUGACAAUUUGGCCAAGCCAUGGAGUAUCAAGUGAGACAGAACUGUGACUGCCUGAACAGCCAUACAUUAACUGGCACUGGCAACCACCAAUUGGGUUUCUGAGAAUGGCACAAGGGACCAAUGGCGUGGUUUUGACGGGUGGGGCCUACCACCUGGCAGAAAGUUUAAAGAUGAGGAGACUGCUGAAGAAAACGAGGGAAAAGAAUGCAGAGGCUUAGAGGAAUGAAGAUACCUGCAGAUCCAUGACGGUGGUGUACGGGGUGUGGUGUGCCAAAGAGACGUCCACUGCAAGGAUGGUGGUGUGGUGGUGAGAGGGAGACUGACAAGCUGCCACCUUUCUUCUGCUCCACUGGAUGGCAGCGAUGGCAGAGGCUGCUGUGCAAGGCGCCAACUUGUUCAUCAGAGGCGAUAGGGGGGCUCACAUUCCUGCGCUCAUCCACUCACUCACUGAUGGAACAGCCGUCGGGAGCAGUUGUGGGUUCAGCAUCUUGCCCAAGGACACUUCUUUCAACAUGCUGCCAGAGCCAAGGAACAUCACUCUUCUAAUUAGUAGAUGAGCUGCUCUACAUCACACCUCACCUCAGCUACCCUAAUGUGGUAUAUCUUCCUCCAAAAGUUACGUAGUCCGGCUUUCAAAUGAUUCUUUGGCUCAGAAGGUAGAACAUUAUUGUUUCAGUCCUGCUGAAGUGUCCAGUGUUUUCAGACAGAUGCAAAACCCUGUUAAUCUAGGGCUCAGAAUUUAGGAGCACUUUAAAAGACCGUGGCAUUGAAAUGAAAGGUGAAAAGACCAAAAGAGAUCUCAAACAUUACAGAGGCUAAUAUGCCGUGC